rnacentral:lncRNA from 1 species
AGAAGAGUCAGGCUGUUCCAGGUUCUUCUGUGUCUGCUCACCGAGCUGCUCCGAGCCCGGCUUAGAGGACCAGGACAGACUGGAGGCUGUAGCCUGCUGCACCGUGGCUGGCCUCCCUGCAGUUGGUGGCGACAGACACUGUAGUGUGGCUGGAAAGUGGUUGUUCCAGGGAUUAUAAUGUGCUUUUCCAUUUUUCCAACGAAUGAAGAACGAAGUGAUCGACUUCUUGCCUCUGCCGGGGCUCUGAAGCGCUGCCCCGAGGCGGUGGAUGGAGGGUGUCAGGCGUGACAUCAAGAGCUCUGCAGCCAGGGCCUGGGACAACCUCCCGCUCCACCUCCCCGGAGCCUCGCAGCCAGCAUCCCCAGCGGCCCGUGCGCCCCGGCCAAGCGGGACCUCAGCGCUGUGGCGGCCGCAGACCUCACCUGGGCAGGCCCCGGGCUGCAUGCGGACCGCCGGGCGCCCAGGACUCUAGAGGCAACCAGCGGGCUGGAUCCGCACAGCGGCCCUGGGAAAUGGAUGGUGUACAGGGGACAAAGCUACACACGUCUUUCAUUUUGGAGGGGGGAAAAAAGAAAAAACGGAAAUGAAAGAUAGAAAAUGUGUGGGCUCUCCGUCCUUUCCUUUGCUCCUGAGCGCUCUCUGGGGUGGGGGGCUCAGCGAGCUUCAAGAGGUGGCCGAGAUUCCCCCACCUCGCCCCCAGAUCCCCGGGAGAGGUCAGCACGGCCCCUCCCUUGGGUGUCACAGAGACCGAUGCGGGUCCCGCUCCCCGGGAAGGAGUGGGUCUGGGUCCAGUCCGCAGGAUCCCCUCGCGGAUGCUGACGCUGAAUGGAGUUGAGGUGGGGGCAGCGCUGGACCCCAGGGUCCCUGCCUGCCUCCUGGGGAGCCCGGUG